GCCUGGGUGGCUCAGUCGGUUGAGUGUCUGACUUCGGCUUAGGUCAUGAUCUCGCGGUCCGUGAGUUCAAACCCCACGUCAGGCU
rnacentral:tRNA from 1 species